rnacentral:sRNA from 1 species
GCACCUGUCCAGCCCACUGGCUUCAGGUGCCGUGGCCAACAAGCUAUGCCAGAGUUUCCAGACCUUCAGCAUCUGCUAUGCAGAGACGGGCUUGCUGGGUGCACACUUUGUCUGUGACCGAAUGAAAAUCGAUGACAUGAUGUUCGUCCUGCAAGGGCAGUGGAUGCGCCUGUGUACCAGUGCCACGGAGAGUGAGGUGGCCCGGGGCAAAAACAUCCUCAGAAAUGCCCUGGUAUCUCAUCUAGAUGGCACUACUCCUGUGUGUGAGGACAUCGGACGCAGCCUCCUGACCUAUGGCCGCCGCAUCCCCCUGGCUGAAUGGGAAAGCCGGAUUGCGGAGGUGGAUGCCACUGUGGUGCGUGAGAUCUGCUCCAAGUACAUCUAUGACCAGUGCCCAGCAGUGGCUGGAUAUGGUAAGUGGCCUAGGGGGUCUGCUCUUUGUUUAUUUCCUCAGGCCAUUCUCUUGGCCUCCCCUUCCGCCUCUGCUCCCGCACUGCUGCUCAGCUUACAGAGCAGCCAGUUAAGGCCCCAAGCAGCUCUCCCCAGUCCCCUGGCUGCCAGGGAGUUCUUGCUCAGAAAACCUGUCCCGGCAGUUCCUUGACUGCCUGCCAAUGUGCCUUCACCAAUACCCUGCACCCGUCAGGUAACGGGCACCUCCAUGUGGGGUGGGGCUUCAAGGGCCAGAACAUGAAGGGACAGGCUCAGCACCCCUCGGGGAAUGUUCUCUUCCCUCUUUCUACUCAAAGCCUGUCUUGUGCUGCUCUGGGCAGCAUCUCCGAGCUGGGUGCGGCACAGGGCCAGGUGUCCCUGUACAGGCCAGGUACCCCACCCUGACGCUCCACCCUAUCCUCACAGGCCCCAUUGAGCAGCUCCCAGACUACAACCGGAUCCGUAGCGGCAUGUUCUGGCUGCGCUUCUAGGCGGGAAGCCUGUGUAAGCAAGAGGGCGGGGCUGGGGUUCGUGGUCCCCCCACAAACACAGCACUCCAGCUCCUCUAACUUGUGCCAC